GUCUACGGCCAUGCCACCCUGAACAAGCCUGAUGUCUGAUCUCGGAACCUAAGCAGGGUUGGGCUUGGUUAGUACUUGGAUGGGAGACCACCUAGGAAGACCAGGUGCUAUAGGCA
rnacentral:rRNA from 1 species